ACCUAAGCAGUGAUGCCUCAGGAACAACUGUUCCCAAGCCACUGCUCAAGUCCUGGUCCUGGUGAUGUGUGUGCGUGGCUGACAGAGAGGUGUGAGGACCGAAGAAGUUUGGCACCAUGGAAACUCAGAGGCUCUGCAUUGAGGAGAAGGAGGCAGGCCUGACUGGGAGAAUGUGAUUCCUUUCAGAGCAUGGUCAAGUUGAGGGCCUGACUCAGAGGCCACAUCACCCUUUCAGUCCUGGGCUUCUGUAGCAGCAGAAGGCCUUAGACCAGUGGCCAUGCACAAUCAAAUGCUGCACUUAAACAGCUCAUUAUAGUAGGGAAGGGCAGCUGGCCAUCCUUCCUGGUGUGUUAGUAGCUCACUAUUCAUUGUUUUCUGUGUGAUGCUGGUUUAGGCUGCAGCUUUGGCUCUGGUGUUCCCCUGCUAUGGUUGCAGAGACAGGCUCUGCCCCAAAGUAAUGGAUGCUGCAAAAGCAGAACCACAGGCGUGAAAGCAGUAGCUGCAAGAAUUGGAGUGUGUCCACUGACUCCAAGUUUUGCUACUUUCAGUGUUCCUAAACCAAUGCAUUAAGAAGCACAAGAGCACAAAGAUAAGAUGAACUUUCUUGGUAUAAUAACUCUAAAUACUGUUGAGUUUAAGAAAGCCACAAACAGCUAUUUGAGGACUUGCUCUCUGCCCCAGUAGAGGUACUCAGGUACUAAAACCCAAAAACAACUGCAUAGGAAUGCUGCAUUUCACACAAGAGCUCAGCAUCCCUGGUUCCAAGCCUGCCAGCCACAGCAGCAGUACUGAAUGAG